GAUUAACGCUGGCGGCGUGCCUAACACAUGCAAGUCGAGCGGCAGCGAGUUUUACACUGAAUUCUGGAAGCUUCUAGUUGAAAGAGAAGAUUUAUUCAAGAAUUUUGUGUAAAAUGUCGGCGAGCGGCGGACGGCUGAGUAACGCGUGGGAACGUACCCCAAAGUGAGGGAUAACGCAUCGAAAGGUGUGCUAAUACCGCAUAUGGUCUUCGGAUUAAAGCCUUCGGGCGCUUUGGGAACGGCCUGCGUAAGAUUAGAUAGUUGGUGGGGUAAUGGCCUACCAAGUCGACGAUCUUUAACUGGUUUGAGAGGAUGAUCAGUCAGACUGGAACUGAGACACGGUCCAGACUCCUACGGGAGGCAGCAGUGAGGAAUCUUCCACAAUGGGCGAAAGCCUGAUGGAGCAACGCCGCGUGCAGGAUGAAGGCCUUCGGGUUGUAAACUGCUUUUAUAAGUGAGGAUUAUGACAGUAAGUUAUGAAUAAGGAUCGGCUAACUACGUG
rnacentral:rRNA from 1 species